CUUUUGAUAGCUCAGCUGGUAGAGCAGAAGACUGUAGAUCCUUAGGUCGCUGGUUCGAUUCCGGUUCAAAAGA
rnacentral:tRNA from 1 species